UGAAGUAACAGUGCACAGAAUUCCAUAGAGCUAAAGAGUAGCCUUAGUGUUGGAUAAUCUAGCCAUCUGACUUUGGGCAAGCCAUGGGAUCUUUGAUUCUUCAUUUACAAGAUGAAAGGGUUAUUCUACAGGGUGACAGUGAGCUGUCAGGGAUGGCAUACCCAUGACAGAGAUGGAUUUCUCCUGUAAGAAGCAGUCUACCACGGAGACCCUUGAUGGUACAUCGCAGCCUUGGCUUCCUUCUGACCUCAUCACCUCUGGGCACCCAGCUCUGUGUUCCUGGAGCCCAGAAAAGCCUCAUCUCCCAACUACAGCUCUAGCCCACAAGCCCUGCAUAAGUCCCAGAUGCCCUCACACAUACUGAUUGUUAAGGCACAUCAGGAGGAGAGAUGAUGGAUGAUGCUUGCUUGGUUUUAUUCAAAGUGUGCUUCCCAUUAAAGAGAAAUGUCAUUUGUGCCUCAA